AGUCCAUCACCACUAAGGAUAUUGGGAAAUUUUCAUUAGCAAAGGUUGGUCAGAUUCAUCUAGUCCCCAUGAGUGCCCUUCUUCUUCCCCGAUUGAGCCUUACACUUUGGUUAUUGGUUGAUGGCUGUGCUGUCUGGGCUGUGAGGCUGUAACCUGUCUCCAUGUCAAAGCAAAGCAUACAUGGCCCACCUCUAAGUGUCCUUAAGAUGGAGAUAACAUGAUGUCAAGGAGAAAGAGGGAGAUAGGACAUAUUUAUAAUAGGUGUAUAGAACACAGGGAUAUAAAAUGAAAGAUAUUUACUUAUAUAUAUUUUAAGAUUACACACAAUACAUACCACGAGACGUGGAAUUCAUUGGUUGUGGCAAUUAAAGCAGUACCAGCCCUUAGCGCUUUGCAGGUAAAACAUCAAAUAGAGCUACUUCUAAGAGAAGUGGCAUCACCCCAAAAGUUAUCAAUUGUCCCAACUCACAGGACUUCAACCCGGGGCAAGAGAGUCAGGGAUAGCAAAUGGGGACAAGACACACAGAAAGAACGACCACAAGACAGGAUUCUGAUCAAGUGGCAAACUUUAUUUCUCAGACUAGUUUAUAUAAUCAGUAGAGCAGGAUAUGGGCAGGGGUAGAAUGGGUUGUUUGUGCACCAGAUGGUAGUGUAGGCAGGAUAUUAGGAAGCCACAAAGAGGAUGUUUGGCAGGGUAAAGAGUUCAUGAGCAAGAGGUUCAGGAAGUUUUGCUUAGGUGACUAAGCCUGUGGGAAGAAGAAUGGAUCAAGUUGUUUUCUUAUCUUAAGCUGAGGUUCUAAGGAGCUGCUAUGUAAAGGUUAAUAUAGAACCAUGUGCCCAGUCAAGAAAGACUAGGAUGCCUAGGAUCUCAUUCCCAGACCUGAGAUUUGGCUCCCAACAAGAGACAGUGUGUCUCCUUAUGUAAUUUACUCAUUUCAACACCAUAGGAAUCCUGGCAGGUUUACCCCUGCUGAGUAUAUAUAUCUAAUUAAUACUGUUACUUCAGGGUCCCAAUUUUCAAUUAGGUUUUUUUUUUGAAAAAACAAAAAAGGACAUAGCUUCUUAACAAAUUAUUUACCAUGUUAAUGUAAUGUUAAUGUAAAGAAAACAGAAAACAGAAAUCAAGACAAACUUAGUUAGCUUAUCCCAUUGCCUACAAAAUAAAGAG
rnacentral:lncRNA from 1 species